rnacentral:misc_RNA from 1 species
GAGUAUAUAUGACUUGGCCUAAAAGUUUUUGCUUCACUAAUUUAACUAUUGCCGUGGAUGAAACAAGCAUGGCAACAUUUUCAACUAUCACUCAAGCAAUGUAAAAAAUGGAGGUUCUACGAGCGGUACAUGUAAGAGUUUUGUGCACACAAGAGGUUCUGAGACUUGAACCAUCCAUGUCCAAGGCAGUUGAGAUGCUAGUAAAGAAAGAAGAAGAUGAGCCUGCACAAAUUAAUCCUCCCUGUAUGAAUGAGAGAAUGAGAAAAAGAUGGAGCUUCAUGAACCAAAAGU